rnacentral:rRNA from 1 species
GACGAACGCUGGCGGCGCGCCUAACACAUGCAAGUCGAACGAGCGAGAGAGAGCUUGCUUUCUCAAGCGAGUGGCGAACGGGUGAGUAACGCGUGAGGAACCUGCCUCAAAGAGGGGGACAACAGUUGGAAACGACUGCUAAUACCGCAUAAGCCCACGACCCGGCAUCGGGUAGAGGGAAAAGGAGCAAUCCGCUUUGAGAUGGCCUCGCGUCCGAUUAGCUAGUUGGUGAGGUAACGGCCCACCAAGGCGACGAUCGGUAGCCGGACUGGGAGGUUGAACGGCCACUUUGGAACGGAGCCACGGCCCAGACUCCUCCGGGAGGCAGCAGUGGGGAAUAUUGCACAAUGGGGGAAACCCUGAUGCAGCGACGCCGCGUGGAGGAAGAAGGUCUUCGGAUUGUAAACUCCUGUUGUUGAGGAAGAUAAUGACGGUACUCAACAAGGAAGUGACGGCUAACUACGUG